AACGAACGCUGGCGGUAGGCUUAACACAUGCAAGUCGAACGCCCCGCAAGGGGAGUGGCAGACGGGUGAGUAACGCGUGGGAAUCUACCCAGAUCUACGGAACAACAGAGGGAAACUUCUGCUAAUACCGUAUACGCCCUACGGGGGAAAGAUUUAUCGGAUUUGGAUGAGCCCGCGUAAGAUUAGCUAGUUGGUGAGGUAAUGGCUCACCAAGGCGACGAUCUUUAGCUGGUCUGAGAGGAUGAUCAGCCACACUGGGACUGAGACACGGCCCAGACUCCUACGGGAGGCAGCAGUGGGGAAUAUUGGACAAUGGGCGAAAGCCUGAUCCAGCCAUGCCGCGUGAGUGAUGAAGGCCUUAGGGUUGUAAAGCUCUUUCAGUAGGGAAGAUAAUGACGGUACCUACAGAAGAAGCCCCGGCUAACUUCGUGCCAGCCGCCGCCGUAAUAC
rnacentral:rRNA from 1 species